CACGUAGGGCGCAAGCGUUGUCCGGAAUUAUUGGGCGUAAAGAGCUCGUAGGCGGUCUGUUGCGUCCGCUGUGAAAACUCGGGGCUUAACCCCGAGCCUGCAGUGGAUACGGGCAGACUAGAGGUAGGUAGGGGAGAAUGGAAUUCCCGGUGUAGCGGUGAAAUGCGCAGAUAUCGGGAGGAACACCGGUGGCGAAGGCGGUUCUCUGGGCC
rnacentral:rRNA from 1 species